AUUGAACGCUGGCGGCAGGCCUAACACAUGCAAGUCGAGCGGAUGAAGGGAGCUUGCUCCUGGAUUCAGCGGCGGACGGGUGAGUAAUGCCUAGGAAUCUGCCUGGUAGUGGGGGAUAACGCCCGGAAACGGGCGCUAAUACCGCAUACGUCCUGAGGGAGAAAGUGGGGGAUCUUCGGACCUCACGCUAUCAGAUGAGCCUAGGUCGGAUUAGCUAGUUGGUGGGGUAAAGGCCUACCAAGGCGACGAUCCGUAACUGGUCUGAGAGGAUGAUCAGUCACACUGGAACUGAGACACGGUCCAGACUCCUACGGGAGGCAGCAGUGGGGAAUAUUGGACAAUGGGCGAAAGCCUGAUCCAGCCAUGCCGCGUGUGUGAAGAAGGUCUUCGGAUUGUAAAGCACUUUAAGUUGGGAGGAAGGGCAGUAAGUUAAUACCCUGCUGUUUUGACGUUACCAACAGAAUAAGCACCGGCUAACUUCGUG
rnacentral:rRNA from 1 species